AAUUCUGUAGCUCAACCGGAUAGAGCGUCGGUUUUCUAAACUGAAGAUUAGAGGUUCGAUCCCUCUCAGAAUCA
rnacentral:tRNA from 1 species